GACGAACGCUGGCGGCGUGCUUAAUACAUGCAAGUCGAACGGAAAGGCCCGGCUUUUGUGGGUUGCUCGAUUGGCGAAGGGGGGAGUAACACGUGAGGAACCUGCCCUUGACUUUGUGAUAACUUCAGGGAACUGGGGCGAAUACCGGGGAUGAGCUCCUGCUGCGUGUGGGUGGUUGGAAAGAUUCGGCGGUUGGGGAUGGACUCGCGGCUUAUCAGCUGGUUGGUGAGGUAGUUGCUUACCAAGGCUUUGACGGGUAGCCGGCAUGAGAGGGUGACCGGCCACAUUGGGACUGCGAUACGGCCCAGAAUCCUACGGGCGGCAGCAGUGGAGAAUAUUGCACAAUGGGCGGAAGUCAGAUGCAGCAACGCCGCGUGCGGGAUGCCGGGUUUCGGGUUGUAAACCGAUUUGGAAUGUGCCGAAGAGUGCGUGACGGUAAUGGGUCAAAAAGCCACGGCUAACUACGUG
rnacentral:rRNA from 1 species